rnacentral:tRNA from 1 species
GACUGCGUAGCUCAGUUGGAAGAGCAUUGGGCUAGUAUUCCGAAGGUCGUAGGUUCGAAUCCUACCGUGGCCG